GCCCUUCAGAGGGGGACAACAGUUGGAAACGACUGCUAAUACCGCAUACGAUCUGACCUCGGCAUCGAGGAUAGAUGAAAGGUGGCCUCUAUUUAUAAGCUAUCACUGAAGGAGGGGAUUGCGUCUGAUUAGCUAGUUGGAGGGGUAACGGCCCACCAAGGCGAUGAUCAGUAGCCGGUCUGAGAGGAUGAACGGCCACAUUGGGACUGAGACACGGCCCAG
rnacentral:rRNA from 1 species